GAAGGGGGCUAGCGUUGCUCGGAAGCACUGGGCGUAAAGGGGGCGUAGGCGGGUCUGUAAGUCAGGGGGGAAAUCCUGGAGCUCAACUCCAGAACUGCCCUUGAUACUGAGGAUCUUGAGUUCGGGAGAGGUGAGUGGAACUGCGAGUGUAGAGGUGAAAUUCGUAGAUAUUCGCAAGAACACCAGUGGCGAAGGCGGCUCACUGGCCCGAUACUGACGCUGAGGCACGAAAGCGUGGGGAGCAAACAGG
rnacentral:rRNA from 1 species